AGUACGAGACGAAAUCUCUCUGUUUUUGCUUCCAUCACGAAACGUUGACCGCCGUCCAGUAGGCCCAAUAAGCGAAGUCACCGCAAUCCAUUUACCCAAACUUGACCCACGGAACCGCGGCCGUCAUCGAGGCUGCCAUCUUCGGCAAUAACCUGAUCGAAUAUGCAGAUUAUUGCGAACAAUUAAGUGAGCGCAUCCCGUCCAAGAUGCACCACCCACAAGAUUGCAAAAGAUUGCUCCAGAGAAAGAAAUUUGGCACUAAUGAAGAAUUGAUUGGCGAGGUUGACGGCUCAAUCAAAUAGGAAUCUUCCUGCAUUGACGAAUAAAGUCGAAUUCUUAAGGAAGAAUGUUGCUCACCAAUUUUUAGCUAUGUGUGCUAUUGUAUCAGUUGGAAAUAAUCAAUUUUGGGAUUCCUGAGAAUGGCAGUACAGCAUCCACUGAAGUAAGUGACACUGUAGCAGGUAGCUGAUCACCUUGUGUGGUAGAGGUUUUGCGUGAAUGACUGGCCCAUUAGAAACGUUCUGAAUGGUUAUUAGUGGAUUGAUGGUAUCUUUUCUUCCGGCAAAAUCAAAGUCGUGUUUUUGACUGGAAUUCCGUACAAAAGAAAAAGAAGUGUGAAAUUUACAGAAAUCCUUUGUAUAAGCGAAAUAUAUUGUUCUAUUUUGACAGCGAACGAUGUCAUUAUUUGAUGAAUAUCAAGAUUGUUGUGGCAGAAAUGUUGUAUUGAAUUACGUUGAAUGUCAUUCUGUUUAAUAGUUAUUCUUUU